CCCUAUGUUUUGCUCCAUUACUAGUUUUAGUCCUUUCUGUUAACGUUUUUUUGGAGAGAAACUAACAAAAAUGACUAAAACUAGUAACGGGGCAAAACAUAGAU
rnacentral:pre_miRNA from 1 species